rnacentral:rRNA from 1 species
CGUGAUCCGCCCUUCGGGGUGGUGAAAGUGGCGCACGGGUGAGUAACGCGUGGAUAAUCUGCCCGAGGAUUUGGGAUAACAUCUCGAAAGGGGUGCUAAUACCGAAUAAGCCCACGGGGUCUACGGAUCUUGCGGGAAAAGGGGGGGACCUUCGGGCCUCCUGUCCUUGGAUGAGUCUGCGUACCAUUAGCUAGUUGGUGGGGUAAUGGCCUACCAAGGCGACGAUGGUUAGCUGGUCUGAGAGGAUGAUCAGCCACACUGGAACUGAGACACGGUCCAGACUCCUACGGGAGGCAGCAGUGGGGAAUUUUGCGCAAUGGGGGAAACCCUGACGCAGCAACGCCGCGUGGGUGAUGAAGGCCUUCGGGUCGUAAAGCUCUGUCUGGAGGGAAGAAAUGAUUGGGAGCUAAUACCUCUUGAUCUUGACGGUACCUCUGAAGGAAGCACCGGCUAACUCCGUGCCAGCAGCCGCGGUAAUACGGAGGGUGCAAGCGUUGUUCGGAAUUAUUGGGCGUAAAGCGCGUGUAGGCGGUCUUUUAAGUCUGAUGUGAAAGCCCCGGGCUCAACCUGGGAAGUGCAUUGGAAACUG